UUCCCCUAGUAACUGCGAGUGAAGAGGGAAGAGCUCAAAUUUAAAAUCUGGCAGUGUUUUGCUGUCCGAGUUGUAAUCUAGAGAAGUGCUGCCCGUGCUGGACCGUGUACAAGUCUCCUGGAAUGGAGCGUCACAGAGGGUGAGAAUCCCGUCUUUGACAUGGACUGCCAGUGCAUUUGUGGUGUGCUCUCAAAGAGUCGAGUUGUUUGGGAAUGCAGCUCUAAAUGGGUGGUAAACUCCAUCUAAAGCUAAAUAUUGGCGAGAGACCGAUAGCGAACAAGUACCGUGAGGGAAAGAUGAAAAGAACUUUGGAAAGAGAGUUAAACAGUAUGUGAAAUUGUUGAAAGGGAAACGCUUAAAGUCAGUCRUGUCGGCCAGGGAUCAACUCAGUUUUUUUUUGCUGGGUGUACUUCCUGAUCUGAUGGGCCAACAUCAGUUUUGACUGCUGGAGAAGGAUAGAGGGAAUGUGGCACCUUCGGGUGUGUUAUAGCUCUCUGUCGGAUGCAGUGGUUGGGACUGAGGAAAGCAGCAUGCYGCAAGGCCGGGUUUCGACCACGUUCAUGCUGAGGAUGUUGGCAUAAUGGCUUUAAUCGACCCGUCUUGAAACACGGACCAAGGAGUCUAACAUGCCUGCGAGUGUUUGGGUGGCAAACCCGAGUGCGGAAUGAAAGUGAAAAGUUGAGAUCCCUGUCAUGGGGAGCAUCGACGCCCGGACCUGAGCUUUUAGCAAAGGAUCUGCGGUAGAGCAUGUAUGUUAGGACCCGAAAGAUGGUGAACUAUGCCUGAAUAGGGUGAAGCCAGAGGAAACUCUGGUGGAGGCUCGUAGCGAUUCUGACGUGCAAAUCGAUCGUCGAAUUUGGGUAUA
rnacentral:rRNA from 1 species